CUCAACUUAGUUGCCAUUUGUGUUCAGGACUUUGAUGCUGUCAUGAACAAAGGCUUUUUUCAUGGCUACUCAUUUAUUACACUUCUGAUGAUUCUUAACCAUGCACUCAGUGGCAUUGCUGUAUCAAUGGUGAUGAAGUAUGCUGACAAUAUUGUCAAGGUGUAUUCAACUUCAGUCGCAAUGCUUCUGACGGCAAUUGUAUCGGUCUUCU